GCCAGUUGACCUUUGCCUUUCUUGGCUCAUCUGGUCGGGGCAUGCUUUCCCCAUCUCUCCUGCAGGUCAAGAGGAAACGGAGGGCUAAAACCCCUGACAUCUGGCACCCGAACAGGGACACAGAACAGGGACAUGGAACAGGGACCCAGAACAGGAACAUGAAGAAGUCGGUUCACCAAGAGUGAAAGUAUCUGCGAGCCAAGCCAAGCGAGUUCCAAGGUAAGGGUAUCCCUGGAAAGAUGGGGCAAUCUUACACUAAGUAGGAUGGCCCAGAUUGGGAAACUAUUGUUAAGGAGUGACUUGGGUCACAGCAGGUCAGUCCUCUCGUUGUCCAGGAGGAGAAAGAUUUAAAACCUCACUCUGACAGUAGCCUCCUAGACCCUUUUGAUCCCUGGCCUGGUUCUCUGGGUUCCAUACCAAGUGCCCCUGUCCCGGAACACAUGGUAGAGAGUCAGGAUGGGGAGCGGCCUUUGCCAUAUUAUCACCCCUCCCCCCAUGGAAAUUCUCCGCCCUCUUGUGCAAACCCGGAAAAGCCAGUUAAGCCACCAUCUUGUAUGGCUUUCCUGGUAAAUGCUAACCCUGGGGCCAAUAGACCAGACUUAUGGUAUCCCUGGGAGGCCCAAGAUUUGAAAGAACUCAAAAAGGCCGUCUCUGAGGAUGGACCUAAUUCGUCCUGGGCCAAAACCAUCCUCCAGGUCUGGACCACCAACAGUGUACCACGCAAGACUGGAAAAAGUUAACCAAGGCCGUGCUUCCUGGUCCCCUGUAUCUGAAAUGGUGUGCUUUUUUUUUAAUGAGGAGUGCCACGCUCAGGCUGGGAGGAAUCAGUCUGUUAAUGCCCCGGUUCCUGUAACUUAUGGGAUGCUGUUGGGGUCCAGUGAUCAGUUUUCCACAGGCCUUCAGCAGGCUGUUAUCCCUGCCCCUAUCAGGAGCAGGUAUGGGCUUUGGGGCUGGCGGCAUGGAAAAAGUUGGAGGAAGGCCCCUCAGAGCCCCCAGUAGCAGGAAUUACUCAGAGGACUACCAAGGAUCUUGCCACAUUCAUUGAGAGGGUGAAAAAGAGCCUCCAAAGGAAAUUCCCCCCAGAGCCCCUUCAGGACAAGUUUGUCAAGAUGCUGGUCUGGGAGGGGAUGACCACAGACCACAAACUAGCCUGUGCAGGGAUGAAGGACAGAUGUAUGGGGAGGUGGAUAGUGGCCACUAAGGAUGUCGGUACUCAAACCCACCAAUCACAGUCAUUGGUCGUGGCCUUGCAGGCCCAAAAAGCUUCACUUGCUGAGGCCCUUACUACUGCCUGCGCCUCUUCCAGUGGCACUGGGAAAGGUUUUUUUUAUUUUUUUAUGGAUUUGAUUAACAGGGCCACUUCAAAAGAGAGUGCCCUACAGGACGAAUAAGACCCUGUGCCCCACAGGGACGUCCCUCAGGCCAGACUAAGAAGCAAACUCUGCCUAAGAUGCCUUGCCCCCGUGUAGAAAGGGAUUCCAUUGGUGGAGGGAUUGUAAGUCCAAAUUUGGUAUUGAGGGGAAGCCUUUAAACUAAUAAUGGGGCGCCCUCCAUCCCCUUCACCCAAAGGAGGCACUCCGCCUAGUGGUCCACCUAGGGCCCACUGGACAGUCCCAAUAAUCCCGGAAAUUAGGCCAAAAAUGGAUAUCUUCAUAGCAGGGAAAAAGUUCUGCUGCUUGAUUGACACUGGAGCGGAUCGGGCAGUAUUAAGGAAAGAGGAGGUUCCCCCACAGUGGAAGCUGAUUCCCAGACCUCAGUUAUUGGGGGUAGGGGGUGAUACAAGGUCUGAAGAAACCAAGGAUUGGCUUACUUGCAAGGAUGUAGGUGGUAGUCAGGGAGACAUAUGUCCUCUGGUGGCAUCAGCCUGACAGCUAAGCUGCUGGGACAGGAUAUUUUGGGGGAAACUGAGGUGUUCAUCACUACAGAUCACAAAGGGAUAUAUGAUGAUAUCCUAGAGGAAGAGGAGUACCAGCAACAGUUUGGCCUAUCAGGUUCCCUUAGCAGUUACCGGGGGAUUCACUUUUUGAGACAUCGAGGCAGAACACUCCUGCACUCAGUGUGAGGCCUCAUCCCUCAAUCAUAGAGGCCGCUGUUCCCACCAUUCAAUGGCUUCCAGGCCCUCUAGUGUGGGUGGAACAGUGGCCACUUCCCCUAGAUAAACUACAAAAUCUAAAGGAGAUAAUAUCAGAACAAUUGACCCUAGGGCAUAUUAGGCCCUCCCUGAGCCCUUGUAAUAGUCCUGGACUGACAUAAAAAAGGCCACAGGGAAAUGGAGAAUGUUACAGGACCUAAGAAAGAUUAAUGAGCAGAUGAUUCCCAUUGUCAUCCCCUUGCGAGGGCUACCCUGGAUCCCCUCCAUCUCUCGGUAUUUGACUCUCAUUGUGAUUGAUAUCAAGGAUUGCUUCUUUUCUAUUCCCCUUGAUCCCCAGGACUGUGAGAAGUUUGCCUUCUCCAUUCCCUCUGUUAACUUCCAGGGCCCAGACCAAAGAUAUGAGUGGGUGGUGUUACCCCAGGGCAUGGCUAACAGUCCAGCUUUUUGUCAACAUUAUGUUUCACAAGUCCUGCAACCCCUUUGGAGGCGAUGGGACAUAAUUCUAUAUGUUCACAUGGAUGACAUCAUUAUUGGGGCGGCCGACACCAAAGUGUUAGGCUCCACCUAUAAGGAACUCCAGACUCUCUUACAAAAGGGAACAUUACAUAUAUCUAAUGACAAGGUCCAGACCUUACCCCAUUUUAAAAUUCUAGGGGUCAAACUUAAGUUGGACUCUGUCUGUCCCCUUAAGCCUCAAUUAUUUUUCCAGUCGUCCUACAUCUUGGUGGAAUUACAAAAACUGUUGGGCGAACUCAACUGGUUAAGGCCUUGGCUUCACCUGCCUACAGAAGACCUGCGUCCACUUUUCGAGUCUUUAAGAGAUAAAGUCCCCACAGAUGUCAUCACAAUGACUCCAUCACAUCAAUUGAUAUUCCAAAAGAUUCAGUCAGCCUUAAAAGCGGCACAAUUGGCUCCCUAUAGGCCCCAAUGCCCCCUCUGUCUUUGAAUCCUCCCCUCCCCAGUUAGGCGAGCCCCUUCAAUGGAUACAUGCAUCUGUGGGAGGGGCCCCUAGGUUUCUAUUCCCAACUUGACCAGUUGGCUGACCUGAUAGUUAAGGGUAGGGAUAUUUCCCUGAGACAUUAUGGGUGCAAUCCUGAUGUGCUAGUAGUCCCCUACUGGCUGUCAGACUUUUGAGUGGGUCAGAAGAAACCAUAGUCAGGUAUCCAAUGCCUUGGAGGGUUUCAUGGGAAAGGUGGAUUGUCAUUAUGGUACUUUGAGAUGGGUGACAUCAUUCUUGAAGUUACAAUGGACUGCCCCACCAUACUUUUUUCCACCAGAUCCCUCAUUAAAGUGGUAAAUAUCUUUACUGAUGGGGGAAAAGCAGGAUCUUUCGCAGAUCAUUCCCCUGCCAAUGAAAGGUACUUACCCACUAUUUUGAGCCAGUUACGGGAUCUGCACAAUUUAAGGAACUAUAUGCAGUUGCCCUGGCCUUAACCCAUGUCCAUGGACCAAUGAACUUGUUUUCUGACAGCCUAUAUGCAGUCAACUUGUUACCAACUCUAGUGUCAGCAUAUAUUAACUUGGACAAAAACCCAAUUACUUCUCUAAUGAUUCAAGUCCGAUCCUUGUUGAAAGAGCAGGCUGAACCCAUUUUUCUGCAGCAUCUCAGGGGACACCAAGAGUUACCUGGAAUCUUGACAUGGGGGAACCAAAUGGCUGAUUGAUUGGCUACCAAUGGGGCUAUCAUAGCUACUGCUCAGUCUCAACAGAACCUUCAGAUGGCUCAAGGACUUCAUGAUCUUACUCACUUAAACUGGAGAGGGUUACAUCAAAGAUUCCCCCUGAUUCCCAUAAAAGAUUUUAAAAAGAUCAUAAGGACAUGUAAAUCAUGUAUGCUGUUUUUACAGGUCCCACCUCUUCAAUCCCUGAGGGGUCAACCCCAGGGGCCUCAGACCUAAUGUCAUCUAGCAAACUGAUGUGACCCACUAUGCAUCUUUUGGAAAAUUAAAAUCUCUAUAUUUAUGUCUAUAGAUACCUAUUCACAUGCUUGUUGGGCAACUGCUCAGUUGGGUGAAAAAGCUCAACACGNCCACCUAUAAGGAACUCCAGACUCUCUUACAAAAGGGAACAUUACAUAUAUCUAAUGACAAGGUCCAGACCUUACCCCAUUUUAAAAUUCUAGGGGUCAAACUUAAGUUGGACUCUGUCUGUCCCCUUAAGCCUCAAUUAUUUUUCCAGUCGUCCUACAUCUUGGUGGAAUUACAAAAACUGUUGGGCGAACUCAACUGGUUAAGGCCUUGGCUUCACCUGCCUACAGAAGACCUGCGUCCACUUUUCGAGUCUUUAAGAGAUAAAGUCCCCACAGAUGUCAUCACAAUGACUCCAUCACAUCAAUUGAUAUUCCAAAAGAUUCAGUCAGCCUUAAAAGCGGCACAAUUGGCUCCCUAUAGGCCCCAAUGCCCCCUCUGUCUUUGAAUCCUCCCCUCCCCAGUUAGGCGAGCCCCUUCAAUGGAUACAUGCAUCUGUGGGAGGGGCCCCUAGGUUUCUAUUCCCAACUUGACCAGUUGGCUGACCUGAUAGUUAAGGGUAGGGAUAUUUCCCUGAGACAUUAUGGGUGCAAUCCUGAUGUGCUAGUAGUCCCCUACUGGCUGUCAGACUUUUGAGUGGGUCAGAAGAAACCAUAGUCAGGUAUCCAAUGCCUUGGAGGGUUUCAUGGGAAAGGUGGAUUGUCAUUAUGGUACUUUGAGAUGGGUGACAUCAUUCUUGAAGUUACAAUGGACUGCCCCACCAUACUUUUUUCCACCAGAUCCCUCAUUAAAGUGGUAAAUAUCUUUACUGAUGGGGGAAAAGCAGGAUCUUUCGCAGAUCAUUCCCCUGCCAAUGAAAGGUACUUACCCACUAUUUUGAGCCAGUUACGGGAUCUGCACAAUUUAAGGAACUAUAUGCAGUUGCCCUGGCCUUAACCCAUGUCCAUGGACCAAUGAACUUGUUUUCUGACAGCCUAUAUGCAGUCAACUUGUUACCAACUCUAGUGUCAGCAUAUAUUAACUUGGACAAAAACCCAAUUACUUCUCUAAUGAUUCAAGUCCGAUCCUUGUUGAAAGAGCAGGCUGAACCCAUUUUUCUGCAGCAUCUCAGGGGACACCAAGAGUUACCUGGAAUCUUGACAUGGGGGAACCAAAUGGCUGAUUGAUUGGCUACCAAUGGGGCUAUCAUAGCUACUGCUCAGUCUCAACAGAACCUUCAGAUGGCUCAAGGACUUCAUGAUCUUACUCACUUAAACUGGAGAGGGUUACAUCAAAGAUUCCCCCUGAUUCCCAUAAAAGAUUUUAAAAAGAUCAUAAGGACAUGUAAAUCAUGUAUGCUGUUUUUACAGGUCCCACCUCUUCAAUCCCUGAGGGGUCAACCCCAGGGGCCUCAGACCUAAUGUCAUCUAGCAAACUGAUGUGACCCACUAUGCAUCUUUUGGAAAAUUAAAAUCUCUAUAUUUAUGUCUAUAGAUACCUAUUCACAUGCUUGUUGGGCAACUGCUCAGUUGGGUGAAAAAGCUCAACACGCUGAAAGCCAUUUCCUACAAUGUUUUGCCAUUUUGGGAUUACCCUUACAGAUUAAGACAGAAUGGGCCCUGCUUUGUGAGCAAAUCAUUACAAGAAUUCUUCCAAACUUGGAAUAUUAAACACACAACUGGAAUACCAUACAAUCCAAAAGGUCAAGCUAUAAUUGAGAGGCAUAUAAGACCUUGAAGGACCAACUAAUAAAACAAAAAGGGGGAAGCAACCCCCCAUGACCAAUUAAGGACAGCCAUGCUUACAUUAAAUAUUUUAAUUUUUUCCAAAGACCAACCUGUAACUGCUUUCCAGAAACAUUGGUCUAAUCAGACACCUUAUGUGAAGGUAGAGGUCCGAUGGAGGGACACUCUUACUGGAUCAUGGCGCGGUCCUGAUCCCCUCAUUAGUGUAGGGAGGGGAUUUGGGUGUAUAUUCCCAAUUGGGGAGCCAAGUCCAAUUUGGGUACCCACUAGAGAUCUAAAAUACUGUUCACCAGAACAAAAAUGAUUACCCAAGAGUACCCUCUCUUGAGGUAUGAUUUUUUAUUUUCUCAUUUGUAGGAAUGAAAAGACCAUUCUGGACGCUUUGCCUGGUUGUGACCACAGUCCUCAUUGUCUCCCUCAUGGCAUUCAUCAUGGCCACGGGGAUGAGAACUGGACUUGCUGGCCUCAGUACUUCUUUAUAGAUAUACAAUAAUGCACCAAGUUGCCAGCACUAUCUUGGACCUGCAAUCUUAACUCGAUUCCUUGGCUGCGGUAGUCCUCCAAAACCAUCACAGCUUAGACCAGCUUACUGCCCAAGAAGGAGGACUAUGUCUGUUCCUACAGGAGGAGUGCUGUUUCUAUGGAAUGGGCUCCUCCAGUUUCUCAAGGAUCAAGCCAGAGCUGUUCAACUGAUAGUGGUCCGGCAGCAAUAUAUCAUCUUACAAGAUACUGACUGUGAACCCUAUGAGUUUGGCCACGGCCCCUACCAGGAUGUGCAGAUAUAAGCCAGGAGCAGAAAGGUUUCCUUCCUAGGCAAUAGCCAUCUCCUUCCUUGAAGCUUCCCAUUGGGCCUGCAGGCCCUGCAGGUAGGAUUACCCGAAGAGCUAGAGUGGUAGUCAGUGAUGGGUAAGAUCCCCAGAAGGGGACAACCUAAGACAGGCACACUCUCGAAUAAGGCAAACACCUGCUAAUAAAACGAAAAGGGGGAGAUGUAGGGCAUGACUUGCUGCCCGCUUCCCAGUCUUGGGGCCGAACAUGUGGCUGGGAUGGUGCCUGGCGAUCAGCCAGGAGGUGGUGCUGUGGGUGGUGAUGGAAAAAACAGACCACCUCCAGGAUAGGUCCAGGACUCUUCCACCCUCAUGGACAGCUCAUGCCUUCCCUUACAGACCUUGGGAUGGGUGUACAUGUGAACUCGCUCCACCCCUCUGACCUUUAUCCUGAUUGGCUCCUGCGCAUUAUAUUAGCUGUGUGUACUUCCUCAAUAAAUGAGAUCCUGCUUUGACUGGUCUCCC
rnacentral:lncRNA from 1 species